rnacentral:lncRNA from 1 species
GAAUUCUCUCAUGUGGACCAUUUGGAAGGUUAGGAAUGACGCUGUUUUCAACAACAAGGAAGUGGUGAUUGAAGAUGUGGUGGAUCAAGUCAAGACACAAUCUUGGAAGUGGUUCAUCGAUAGAAUGGCGAAGUCUCCGUGCCUUUAAUACGAAUGGAAAUGGAAUCCAUUUGAUUGUUUCCAGAGAUGAUAGACAGGCCUGGUUCAAUUGCUAUUUAUGUUGCUCUUGUUUAUUCCAUAUGCCGUGUAAUGUUACUGCUUUGUGCUGUUUCUUCUGGUUUUUACUCUGUUGCAUUGAGGUGCAGGGCCACUGGUUUGUUUUGCCAGUGCCUUUAUUUGUGUUAUUUUGGUUGCUUUUCUUUUGUAACCUGUUACCUCCCCACCAAACACUCCUUGUGUUUAGGUGUUGUGCUUAUCAAUAAAUUUAAAGUCGUUCAAAACACAAAAAACUCUCGAGGACCAAACUCAUCUAAAUCAUUAUUUUAAAAAAAAAAAUUAAUGAAAAUUUACUACUGGAAGAAGUGAAUUCUUGUUGCCUGUGUGUUGAUCUAUUCAAUAGGUCCAAACACUAUAGCAUAAGCUUAAUGUUCUAAAUAGACGAAACACUUUUAACUUACAAAUCGGGGCACACAUUUGAAUCACUGAUUACACAAACUACAAAAUGUGGUCACAGAAUCAUAUGCCAUCAUCAAAUACUCAAAUCAACCUUGAUAACCAAAUCAAACUUAAAAAAAUUGAGAUUCAUCAGAGCAAUCACAGAAGAACUUCUUACAAUUUCAAAUCCAUAGUUGACAAGACAACACAAGUUAAACAAACUAUUUACCACAUAAUAAUGUAGAUAUCAAAAACACAAACUAAAUUACACAAUUAACGUCUGUAAGUUGGAUUUGGAUCCUCUGUUGUCAUCUUCCCUCAUGUCCUCCCUGCUGUCCUUUUAUGUGUCUCUCUCUCACAUAAUUUUUUUCUCUCAUAUCACACCUCUUUAUUUUUUUAUUUCUCUCUUCUCAAACACAUAAAAUUACACAACUGCAGUGUUGUAGCUGAUCCAAUCCAAGUCCCUAUAAGUUACUUCCUAGAUGCUCAUUGGUAAUAAGAAAGCCAAAAAAAAAAAAAACA